GAGUUGGUUUGGUUGAUUUUAGGAAAAAUACUUACUGCUUCAGGGAUUUCUACUAGUCGUAGGUAUAAUAACUCGUACUCAUAUGCCUAUACUCAUCAAAAUGACAAGUACAAAAUCAAAAGGAAUCUUGGGAACUAGUGUUGGUUGAAAUGUUAUAAGGUCAUGAAUGGAAAUUGCUAAUAAUCUACUUCAAAAUGGGAUUUAAUAGAAUAUAAUCUUCCUCUCGAAUAUCUGGAAUUAUAAAUACGCUUGAAGGAUUAGUAUAGUCGGGGACCAAAGGUGAUUGUCCCUCAGAUAUUUUUCCAUUAAGUGUUACCACGUUAGCAUCAUAUUGUCAUUCAAGACAUUUCCAGAGAUUUCGACGAAAAGUAAAACUUCGUAGGAAUUCAAUUAGGUGGUAUACUAACAGGCACUACCAAGGAAUCAAAACUAUUUGUGGUUUCCUAUCUCGAAAGGUUUAGUAAUGAUGACAGGAGAAUAGUGAUGGGAUUGAUUGGUAAAUCUCUGGUGAUACACAACUAUCGAUACAUUAGCCCUACUUUUGGGCUAUCAACUCAUCUCAAAACUACAUAUUUCCUUGGCAGGGAGGUUCUUGUUUAAAAUAUUGAGGUGGUUGCCAAUAUGUUCUUCUAGACGAUCGAUAAGUCGUCCAAGUAACCCAAAAUUUAAAAAAUAAAA
rnacentral:lncRNA from 1 species